GUAGAAGUGAGUGUAUCGAUAAGCGUUAACGCAUUUGUGUGCGUAACGAAAACCGCGUCGCGGUCGAAGCUGAGCGCCACGCACACUAUACCAAUGUGUA